AUACCCACCAAGUAUUUUCAACUUAAUGAAUGGUGGGAAUAUGUAUAAUUUAUAUGGCGGCAGUUAAUAUUAAUAAGCAAUAAUGCAAUGAAACAGCAUACAUGAAGAAGAAGAAGAAGACAAAUGAUAUUGAUUGCAGUUGAAAAAGGGAAGAUUGAUUAUUAGUUGAAGAGGGAUGAGUCUGCUUUUGGUAUACACAAAGAAAAAGAAUUAUGAAUUGGAGUGAUCUGAAGAUGGAAUGAAAGAAAGAAAGAAAGGGACCCAAUGAAGUGAUGGCUUCCAUCUUCUGUCGUCUGACAGUUUCUACUUUGUAACGUUGUGGAUACGAAUAUAGGAUAGCGGAUAGCUAUGAGUCGUUGAUGAAAACGAGUUAAAUGUAUGAUAAUGAUUGGUCUGUGUGGUUUGAAUGGAAGAUUUUACAUGGUUAGUCUUCAA